CCUACGGGAUGCAGCAGUGGGGAAUAUUGGACAAUGGGCGAAAGCCUGAUCCAGCAAUGCCGCGCGUGUGAAGAAGGUCUUCGGAUUGUAAAGCACUUUCACCGGUGAAGAUAAUGACGGUAACCGGAGAAGAGGCCCCGGCUAACUUCGUGCCAGCAGCCGCGGUAAUACGAAGGGGGCUAGCGUUGUUCGGAAUUACUGGGCGUAAAGCGCGCGUAGGCGGAUAGAUAAGUCAGAGGUGAAAUCCCGGGGCUCAACCCCGGAAUUGCCUUUGAUACUGUUUAUCUUGAGUGCAGAAGAGGUAAGUGGAAUUCCGAGUGUAGAGGUGAAGUUUGCAGAUAUUCGGAGGAACACCAGUGGCGAAGGCGGCUUACUGGUCUGCAACUGACGCUGAGGCGCGAAAGCGUGGGGAGCAAACAGGAUUAGAUACCCCUGUAGUC
rnacentral:rRNA from 1 species